rnacentral:rRNA from 1 species
AUUAUUAAAGGGCCGCGGUAUUCCUGACCGUGCGAAGGUAGCAUAAUCAUUAGUCUUUUAAUUGAAGGCUUGUAUGAAAGGUUGGACGAAAAAUGGACUGUUUCAAAUAAAAAGAUUGAAUUUAACUUUUAAGUGAAAAGGCUUAAAUAAAUUAAAAAGACGAUAAGACCCUAUAAAUCUUUACAUUUGUUAUUAUAGGUUUUGGAUUGUGUGUGUAAAAAAAAAUAUAAUAAAAAUGUUGUGUUGGGGCAACAGUGAUAUAGUAAUAUUAAUUGUUAAAAAUAAAAACAAAUAUAUUUGUUAAAUAGAGAUCCUUUUUAAAGAUUUAAAGAUUAAGUUACUUUAGGGAUAACAGCGUUAUUUUUUCUGAGAGUUCUUAUCGAAGAAAAAGAUUGCGACCUC